UACGUAGGGUGCAAGCGUUGUCCGGAAUUAUUGGGCGUAAAGAGCUCGUAGGCGGUCUGUCGCGUCGGAUGUGAAAAUCCAGGGCUCAACCCUGGACCUGCAUUCGAUACGGGCAGACUAGAGUUCGGUAGGGGAGACUGGAAUUCCUGGUGUAGCGGUGAAAUGCGCAGAUAUCAGGAGGAACACCGGUGGCGAAGGCGGGUCUCUGGGACGUGACUGACGCUGAGACGCGAAAGCGUGGGGAGCAAACAGG
rnacentral:rRNA from 1 species